UCCUUUUUGUUUGUGAGACGGGGUCUCACUAUGUACUCCUGGUUGUUCUUAGACCAGACUGGCUUUGAACUCAGAGACUUGCUUACCUCUGCCUCCAGAGUGCUAGGAUUAAAAGCAUGUACAACACCCCCAUUCCAAUGCAGGCCCCCAGGGGCUGCAUUUCAAAGGCACUCUUCCUAAUCCAGCUUUAAUAUUGGACAAGGGAUAUGCUGCUUUGGUACACGAUUCUGUGAAUUCAGGAAACUUGGUGCUGAUGGGAUUAUUUUGUUAGGGGGAAACAAAAAAAGACCCCAUCAAGGGUUUCUGUAAUGACUAUCCUUUGGGCUUUUGGAACAGUUGUACCAUGUUUUCAAGAGCAGUCAGGCAGUACUGUAGGCAGACCACAUAUCUUCCCUUGUGACAUCACUGCCUGAAUCUCAUAGGAGCAGUUCGGAACCCGAGGUAGAUCAGAAGCGUUUAGCAUUGGCCUGACUCCAGUCCGUUUUUAAGCUUCCUGUUGCUGUGGUGAUUUAAUGCCAGCCUCUAGUUACUAGAUGCUCUCAGGGAACUUACCUCCCCUGCUUGCCCUAGCCUCUCACAUGUAACAUCUGGCCUCAGCAUCUGGACCCCUCUGGAUCCCGCCUCUGACUUCAGCUAAAGCUUUGCAGCAGGGCUCCUCCUGGGUUUGGGAGGUGUUUCCUGAGUGUUCCCAGCCCAAUGGAUGGCUUCCAUAUUUCCCCAGCCCCGUCCCUCCUGUAGCAUAAGUGAAAUGCACUACUAAACAGAACUGUUUUUCAGAAGGGAGUGUUUUUGUAUGGGAGUCACACUUGUGUCAGUUAAAAUAGCACAGUGACCAUAAAUGGAAUCCUAAAGUGAAACUUCAGGAUUUGAAACUUUUCUUUGAUAAACUUUUUUUUUAAAUAUAAAUGUAUGUAGCCAUCUUCAUACCAAAUUCAGGAUCUUAUGAGCUAUACAGAUCAUUUUGUGUGGUCUAAUGUCUAAGAAUGGUGCUGAAAACUAAAAAAGUAUACUUGGCUCCUGUGUAGCAAUGGGUCAACUUCUCUGCCUUGAUUUGACCUCUUUAGAAGGCUGUUACAGCCAUGGAACAUGGUAGGCUAGGAGUGUUAUAAAGAGAUUAACAUUAAGAUGGCCACGAACUCACUUUUUUUUUUAUGAGUACUGUGAUUUAAUAUUUGUCUUUAAUUUUAC
rnacentral:lncRNA from 1 species